CCUGGUUGAUCCUGCCAGUAGUCAUAUGCUUGUCUCAAAGAUUAAGCCAUGCAUGUCUAAGUACACACUUAAAGUGAAACCGCGAAUGGCUCAUUAAAUCAGCUACAAUUUAUUAGAUCGUACACUGUUACUUGGAUAACUGUGGGAAUUCUAGAGCUAAUACAUGCCGAGAGUCUCUGCUCUUCGGGGCAGAGCGCAGUUAUUAGACCAAAACCAGCCGUAUUCUUCGGGGUACGCUCUUUUGGUGACUCUGGAUAACCUUCAGCCGAUCGCAUGGCCUCGUGCCGGCGACGUAUCUUUCAAGUGUCUGCCCUAUCAACUUUCGAUGGUACGUGAUAUGCCUACCAUGGUGAUAACGGGUAACGGGGAAUCAGGGUUCGAUUCCGGAGAGGGAGCCUGAGAAAUGGCUACCACAUCCAAGGAUGGCAGCAGGCGCGCAAAUUACCCACUCCCAGCUUGGGGAGGUAGUGACGAAAAAUAACAAUGCGGGACUCUAAGAGGCCCCGUAAUUAGAAUGAGUACACCUUAAAUCGUUUAACGAGUAUCAAUUGGAGGGCAAGUCUGGUGCCAGCAGCCGCGGUAAUUCCAGCUCCAAUAGCGUAUAUUAAAGUUGCUGCAGUUAAAAAGCUCGUAGUUGGAUCUGGGGCUUGAGGUCGCUGUCUAUCGUUUCGGCGAUGACGGUGAUGCUCAGCUCUGCUUGCCGGUGACUGUUGCGGUGUUCUUCACUGAGCGCUGUAGCAGCACGGCACGUUUACUUUGAAAAAAUUAGAGUGCUCAAAGCGUGCUUGUCGCUUGAAUAAUGUUGCAUGGAAUAAUGGAAUAGGACCUCGGUUCUAUUUUGUUGGUUUUCGGAGCUUGAGGUAAUGAUUAAGAGGGACGAACGGGGGCAUUCGUAUUGCGGUGUUAGAGGUGAAAUUCUUGGAUCGCCGCAAGACGGACUACUGCGAAAGCAUUUGCCAAGAACGCUUUCAUUAAUUAAGAACGAAAGUCAGAGGUUCGAAGACGAUCAGACACCGUCCUAGUUCUGACCAUAAACGAUGCCGACCAGCGAUCCGUAGUGGUUGCUUUAUGGACCCUACGGGCAGCCUCCGGGAAACCAAAGUAUUUGGGUUCCGGGGGAAGUAUGGUUGCAAAGCUGAAACUUAAAGGAAUUGACGGAAGGGCACACCAGGAGUGGAGCCUGCGGCUUAAUUUGACCCAACACGGGAAAACUCACCCGGUCCGGACACCGUAAGGAUUGACAGACUGAUAGCUCUUUCUUGAUUCGGUGGAUGGUGGUGCAUGGCCGUUCUUAGUUGGUGGAGUGAUUUGUCUGGUUAAUUCCGAUAACGAACGAGACUCUAGCCUGCUAAGUAGUGUU
rnacentral:rRNA from 1 species